rnacentral:rRNA from 1 species
UACGUAGGGUGCAAGCGUUAUCCGGAAUUAUUGGGCGUAAAGAGCUCGUAGGCGGUCUGUUGCGUCUGCUGUGAAAACUCAGGGCUUAACCCCGAGCCUGCAGUGGAUACGGGCAGACUAGAGGUAGGUAGGGGAGAAUGGAAUUCCCGGUGUAGCGGUGAAAUGCGCAGAUAUCGGGAGGAACACCGGUGGCGAAGGCGGUUCUCUGGGCCUUACCUGACGCUGAGGAGCGAAAGCGUGGGGAGCGAACAGG